UUGUGAAUUAUGUUGAAGAAUUCCCCAAAAGGUGGUGAUGGAUGGAACAACUCUUGGAAUACAGAAAACUUUCUUACCAAAUAAUUUAAGAGAGUCUGAUACUGAUUGCUACAUGGAAGACAAGCUCAACAUGAGACAAAAUUACUUUGCAAGUAAAGUUCUAUAAAAGACUAUUGAUGGCUUUUAUGAAAAAGUGAAAAGCACCGAGUUUAAAGGAGCGAUGUUUUUGGCUUUAUAUAGAGGAAAGCUAUCAAGAUCAUACAGAAGAAAAGUUAAAGGAAAAGACUGAGGAUGAUGCUGGAAAGUAACGAUGAUGGCAAAGAAUCCGAUGGCAAUGUGCUGGAAAGUAACGAUGAAAGCUCUGUAAAGAAAACAUUGUAAAAAAUGUUUCUCACGUGGAAUAUUAAAGUCAGAAAAUAAUGCUAUGGCAAAAUAUAGAGUUUGAAAUUUGAAGCGA